GCCUUGCAUGUUUCAUUUAGUAAUCCUUCUUUGCAAAGUCCUUUUUGAUGUUAAAGUGAUUGAUUUUUAUGCAUAAAAGACUUUGCAUAGAAGGAUUAUCAUAUGAAGCAUUCAAUCGUUCAAGGG
rnacentral:pre_miRNA from 1 species